GCGCCGAUGGGGUAGCGGUAACCUGGGUCGUUGCCAAGAGUCUAUUGACUCGACCCGCCGGGGGUUCGACUCCCCCUCGGCGCA